CGGGGACGGCUGCGACGGCGGCGGCGGCGGCGGCGGGGACCGCAGGAGCGGUGGUGCUGUCAGGCCGUCGGAGAAAUGGGAGACCCGGGGUCGGAGAUGAUAGAGUCUGUCCCUCCAGCUGGGCCCGAGGCAUCUGAGGCAACAACGGAUGAAAAUGAGGAUGACAUUCAGUUUGUCAGUGAAGAACCAUCAAAACAUGUUCUUGAAUACAUUGUUCUGGUCUGUGGUGAUAAUAAAGAGCUUAGCACCUGUCCUAGCGAUAGAGCAAGAGAGCACAAGCAGGGGGAGUGGCAGAGGGAAG